rnacentral:rRNA from 1 species
CCUACGGGAGGCUGCAGUGAGGAAUAUUGGUCAAUGAGCGGAAGCCUGAACCAGCCAAGUAGCGUGCAGGAUGACGGCCCUACGGGUUGUAAACUGCUUUUAUACGGGAAUAACGCGCCUUACGUGUAGGGCUUUGCAUGUACAGUAUGAAUAAGGACCGGCUAAUUCUGUGCCAGCAGCCGCGGUAAUACGGAAGGUACGGGCGUUAGCCGGAUUUAUGGGGGUUAAAGGGAGCGUAGGCCGCAUGUCAAGCGUGCUGUGAAAUGUCCGGGCUCAACCCGGGCCUUGCAGCGCGAACUGGCGUGCUUGAGUCCGCGGAAGGCAGGCGGAAUUCGUCGUGUAGCGGUGAAAUGCUUAGAUAUGACGAAGAACCCCGAUUGCGAAGGCAGCUUGCUGCAGCGGAACUGACGCUGAUGCUCGAAAGCGCGGGUAUCGAACAGGAUUAGAUACCCGUGUAGUC